GGGAAGGAUCAUUACCGAGUUCGGGGUCCUCUGGGCCCCCUCUCCAACCCCGUGUCUACCUCUUGCCAUGUUACUCUGGUGGGCCCGUCCGCGCCGGGAAGGUCUGCGGCCUUGCCCGGUUCGCGCCCCGCGCCCGCCAGCGGUCACUGCAAAACUCAUAUCGACAGUGAUGUCCCAGUGGCAGAACGAAUCGUUAAAAACUUUCAACAACGGAUCUCUUGGUUCUGGCAUCGAUGAAGAACGCAGCGAAAUGCGAUAAGUAAUGCGAAUUGCAGAAUUCCGUGAGUCAUCGAAUCUUUGAACGCACAUUGCGCCCUUUGGCACUCCGAAGGGCAUGCCUGUUCGAGCGUCAUUUUCAACCGUCAAGCCCGGCUUGCCGUUGGGUCCCGUCGCCGGUGACGGUGGUGGACCCGAAAGAUCAGGGCGGUGCCCGUGAGGGUGCCUGGAUGCAACGAGCCUUCGCGCACGCGUCCGGGCGUCCCCCGGCCCCGUCCCAGCCCAAACCGCCUCACAGAUUGACCUCGGAU
rnacentral:rRNA from 1 species